ACUGCACAUUUGGAGAGAAGGAAAGAGUGAAUCCAGAAGUGCUGCUGGUAGCAGCUGAAGGUCUGCGGGCUGGAGUGGGGCUGCAAAUUCAGAUUUCGCUGACUAGACAGCGCGCGGUGACAGUCCCUUGGACGGACCCCGAAUCAAAGCUGGGACAGUGGUGGGGAAAAUUCUGCGCUUCGGAGACCGGCAUCUCAGAAGACAGCCAUGCCCGUCAGGCCCCGACGCCGCGCCGCCGUGAAUAAAUGGCGCGGGCCCCGCCCUGCUAGCUCUCUUUGUGCAGCGAACGCGUGGAUGGAGAGAGUGGUACCUUUGGCGUCUGUCUGGCGGCUGCUGCGAAACCUUCCCCCAACAAGGGGAAGGCGGCCGCCCGGCGCUGGCUUUGCACAGCUACCGGCUUGCGGGUAUCUCAGGGCUCUUUUGGGUGAGGGGACCGCGGUUUCGGGCUGAGCAGGAUGAAUUAUCAAUACAGACUAGAGUUUCUGAUGUCUCUGUGACGCCAUGGCCCCUGAUUCUCGAAGAAGGGUCCGCAGCGCCCCAGGGGGGUUUAAGACGUCCACCAAGGUGUUAUUCUUGAACAAAGCGUGAGAGCUUUGGAAGCCCAGCCGGGGCAGUGCCCCUUCACAGAGGUUCAGGGCUAGCCUGAUGAGUGAAGGCCUGAGGUUUGGAAUUCUCUCGAAGUGCUGUUGGGAUGGCUGGGGUGCCCAGGUCAUCGUUCCUGCCACUUGAUCAGCGGGCUGUAAGGAGAAGUGGAGAGCAGUGUGCUUCUACCUGGGUCCUGUGAGUUUUGCUCACACAAAGGAUGUCCUCUACCUGGUGUUGGACAGAUCCUCGGAACUUCACAUCUUUCCUGCGUUAACCCGUGAGCAGCUGUCAACCUCCUGGGGUUGGGGGAGGGGACUGCCUAGAGAUUUGGGGGCGAAAGUCAAUUAGGCGGCCUUUACUUGGUUUUAUCAAAAGGAUUCCAAUGAUAUCUUUUAAAGCAAAUAAAAAAUAGAUAGGUCUCAGUGAAAACAAGAUGGUACAGAAAGGCUUAGGGAUGUGAAUGGUUAACCACCAGUGAAUGGGCAUCACAGUUGACAUCUAGCUGUACCUAUUUCCAGCUACAUACAAAAAACAAAUUAGAUUUGCCACACUGACAUUAAUGUUAAAGAUAUCUUGAUUGUCAUAGUAGUCUAAUAUUUGAGGGUUUUACGAUACUGUUAAUAUGGGCACUUAAUAUGCUUUUUGAUCAAUUAGUAAAAACAUAGGUUGUCCAGAUAUAUUUUAAAAGAACAUACUCCUGGUGGAUGCCAGGAGCUGGGAAUGAGGAAAUGAAGAGUUGUUGUUUAAUGGGUACAGAGUUUCAGUUUUACAGGAUGAAAAAAAAUUCAUGGGGAGGACGGUGGUGAUGGUUGCUGUUAUCGCUGAACUAUAUGCUUAAAAGUGGUAAAGAUGUGGGGGGACGGGGAUAAAUUGGAAGAUUGUGAUCGACACACACUAGUGUAUAUAAAAUAGAGAACGAGUAUGGACAUACUGUAUAGCACAAGGAACUCAAUACUCUGUAAUGGCCUGUAUGGGAAAAGAAUUUUUAAAAAAAGAAAGUGGCUAUACGUGUAGCUGAUUGACUUUGCUGUACACCUGAAACUAACACAUUGUAAAUCAACUAUACUCCAAUAAAAAGUUUCUUUUAAAAAGUGGUAAAGAUGGUAAAUUAUGU